UGACUGUGGGAGACCAAGGUGCUCUCAAUACCCACUGACUAGGUACAGCACAGACAUCAGCACUUCAAGCUUCCUCACCCUACAAAGACAACAUGCCUCAGUCCUGUUCUCUACCUCCUCUAAGUAUAAGAAUAGCCAUACUGGGUCAGAUCAAUGGUCCAUCUAGCCCAGU
ensembl:misc_RNA